GGAGACGUGGCAGAGCGGCCGAAUGCACUCGCCUUGAAAGCGAGCGUCCCGCACGGGACCGGGGGUUCGAAUCCCCCCGUCUCCG
rnacentral:tRNA from 2 species